rnacentral:rRNA from 1 species
AUGACAGCCUUUCGGGAUGUGCUCGAGGUAUGUCAGCUCAUGGAUAUCGGUUUCUCGGGUGUGCCGUUCACAUAUGAUAAUAAGAGAAGCGGGACAACAAAUGUGCGCGUACGGUUGGAUCGUGUUGUGGCCUCUAGUGCAUGGCGUAAUAGGUUUGCUUUCUCUUCGGUGUCCCAUGUGGUGUCACCCUGUUCUGAUCACGUAGUUCUCGUCCUUAAGGGCGCUCCGGAUCCUGGACCGAAAAUAGGACGAGGACACCAAUAUGAGAUUUUCUGGGAGAGAAGUGGCGAGCUACCCGAGUUGGUACAGCAAGCCUGGGAGUCGGCAGGCUCGAUUGGGAACCUUGAACAAUUACAGUCAGCCCUGAAGAAGACUAUGUCGACUUUAGGCAUUUGGAGUAGGAAGAAGUUUGGUAUAUCACCUGUGAGCUUGCCAAGUCCAGAUCACAACUAG